rnacentral:rRNA from 1 species
UACGUAGGGGCCGAGCGUUGUCCGGAGUUAUUGGGCGUAAAGCGCGCGCAGGCGGCUUGGCGCGCCCGACGUGAAAGCCCCCCGGCUUAACCGGGGAGAGUCGUCGGGGACGGCCGGGCUUGAGGGCGGGAGAGGGUGGUGGAAUUCCCGGUGUAGUGGUGAAAUGCGUAGAGAUCGGGAGGAACACCUGUGGCGAAGGCGGCCACCUGGGCCGACCC